CCCUGAGCACAGGCAGAGCAAGAGGAAGAUUGGACAAUUCCAACAGGGAGGUGACUCUUGUUCUCUUACAUAUGAUGGAAUAAGGCAACUGCUGCCCAGGAGGUUAAGACUUGGCUGAGGCUGGAGAGAAAAAUGACAUGUGUCAGUGGAGCCAGUGGGAUCACCAGCAGGGUCUCCUAGAAGCGCAGGCAGUGGAGCAUAAUCGAGAGGAGCAUAGAACAACAUGCCAUAGAGACCUGGAGUGAGAAAGGGACACCCCCAGACUCUGGCUAGUGAGGCAGUGCCACUGGGGAUGAGAGAAGCCUGCCCACAGCUUUGGGAUCACCAGCAUCCAUCCAUCCAGCCAACCUACAGCACAGACAUUAUACAGAAGGAGUAAAGGAGGAACUGCCAAUGCCAACACCAAGGUACCUACUGCAUUCCGUGAUCAUUAUUAUCUCUGAACUUAAAGGUGUAAACUCAUUCCAAUCUACAUGAGCAAGAAAACGCUUUCCAAGCUCCACUCAGGGUUGCAGCACAGUGGGGAACACUGCUCUCAGAGGAACUCAGAGAUCCUAAGAUUAGCCCCAUUCAGAGCA